rnacentral:rRNA from 1 species
GACGAACGCUGGCGGCGUGCUUAACACAUGCAAGUCGAACGGAAAGGCCCUGCUUUUGUGGGGUGCUCGAGUGGCGAACGGGUGAGUAACACGUGAGUAACCUGCCCUUGACUUUGGGAUAACUUCAGGAAACUGGGGCUAAUACCGGAUAGGAGCUCCUGCUGCAUGGUGGGGGUAGGAAAGUUUCGGCGGUUGGGGAUGGACUCGCGGCUUAUCAGCUUGUUGGUGGGGUAGUGGCUUACCAAGGCUUUGACGGGUAGCCGGCCUGAGAGGAUGACCGGCCACAUUGGGACUGAGAUACGGCCCAGACUCCUACGGGAGGCAGCAGUGGGGAAUAUUGCACAAUGGGCGGAAGCCUGAUGCAGCAACGCCGCGUGCGGGAUGACGGCCUUCGGGUUGUAAACCGCUUUCGCCUGUGACGAAGCGUGAGUGACGGUAAUGGGUAAAGAAGCACCGGCUAACUACGUG